UACAGAGGUGGCAAGCGUUGUUCGGAAUUACUGGGCGUAAAGGGCGCGUAGGCGGCCUACUAAGUCAGACGUGAAAUCCCCCGGCUUAACCUGGGAACUGCGUCUGAUACUGGAUGGCUAGAGUCCGGAAGAGGAGAGUGGAAUUCCUGGUGUAGCGGUGAAAUGCGCAGAUAUCAGGAAGAACACCAAUGGCGAAGGCAGCUCUCUGGGACGGUACUGACGCUGAGACGCGAAAGCGUGGGGAGCGAACAGG
rnacentral:rRNA from 1 species